UCUCUAUUUUGCAACUGCCGGUCGCCGGGCGGUUGCGCGAGCCGUUGUGGCGUGUUUGUCUAAUCGUGUGGUUUUGUGUUUGGUGUAACGAAAUGUGACUUAGUUCGCGAACACAGAAGUGCCAGAAGAUAGCUUGUGUCUCUCUGAAACUCGCCAUAUGCGUGGCGUGCCAGGCAAAUGGAGACCAACGAUUUUCAUGCCCUGGAGUGCGUUCUCUUUUGUGUCUGGUUGCGGGAAGUUCGCUGGACGUCGCAAAGAAAUAAUGUGUAUUAUUAGCGUGCCUCAGCUCGUCCACUACGUAACGGCGUGUAGACUGGGAGUCGACGCAGCACCGGCAACUUGGAGAGCGCUUUUCGACCGCGUCGUACCAUUCAAAAGUGGCGAGGCCGUAACCCACACCAGUGUCCACAUAAUGGAGGAGCCAGCAGAAAUGCAGGGAAACCUUGAAUGACUGCCAUAGCGCAGUGUGUAAUCUGAUUGCUUGGUUCAGGUACACCUAGCAAAUGUAUACAUUGACGAGGAGUGGCACCUGCUCUAGUGCCAUGGCUAGGACUCCCUGUUCUGCAAAGAACUGGCGAAACUGGUGUGCGGAGUUCUGGCACUCAGGAUAGGAGCAUCACAGGGGCUCUUUGGUGGUGCUUCCUGAACGACCGCAAUUUCAUUGAGAAGCCGGCAUUGAGCCUCCAUAAAUUGGAAGCUGUGGACAGUAUCAUCGACAUUGUUUCAAAUUUGUUUGUGUAAUGUUUGUAACAAUACAUGUAUUACAGCGAAAUGAUUAAUUUUCCAGAUGCACUUGAUGCAUAUCUUUCGAGAUGUGGUGCCCCUGAGGAGGAGAAAUCGCGGUGCUCAAAAUGGACCGUAGCCUAGCAGACAUGCUGAGAGAAAUUAAGUAAGCGUGUAAUUGCAAACAUGUGUACAUGCAGUAAACCUCAUUAAUUUGAACUCGUGGGGGCCAUGCGAAAUGUCAGGACUAAGCAAACGCAACCAAAAUGGUUUAAAAUAUAUAUUUAUGUUUCGGCUUCCCACGGGAGCCUUGUUCACAAUGAAACCAGCAGCAGAGUAGGUAACGUUCUUAUCUGCAGCUCAAAACAUGAUUAAGGUACUUGGCAUACAUGGACAUGGAUGAUUAGAGAUUCAAGAUAAAGACGCGUAAAAUGAUUUCAUUCCUUAACAAUCAAGCGAUAUUUUUCCUAGCUAAUUGUGACGUAGUUGCGAAGUGCUUGGCCAGGGCAUUCGAUGCAAAGUAUCGUUUCUGGACAUCAUUCCUGUGCUGUUUAAGUCUUUUUUUGGAGUUGCCGGUUUCUCCGAUGUAGACGUACCGACAGUUCGCACACCGAAGGACCUACACUACGCCUGGGAACUUGCCCUUUUCCGAACGGUCUUUCACAUGCAUGAGCUCGUGUUUACGUUUUGGAACGUGCACAGCCUGCACAUCAUAUGACCACAACGCAUGCAAGGGUCUCGCUUAUGCAGGGGACCUAUGGUAUUGAAGCCCAUUUUUCGGGGGGUCCAGGGAGGGUGGGUACUGCGCAAGCCAGCUGACACCCUACUGUGUCAAUGGAGUACUCAGGGUAUCCACAAGCCAUCAAUUCCCACUGCACAAGUGAAUUGUCUGCCAUGUGGUCUUCUACUGUUGUGCACACAUUUUUCACCCAACGAAGGAGAGAGCAGACAACAGACCUCUUUUGCGAAGCAGGGUGCACCAAUGUGUAGUUGAGGUAGCGCCCCGUGUGAGUUAGCUUCCUAAACACCUCGAAUAACAGGUUUGGCCCUUUAUGCUGCACGAGGCUGUCCAAAAAUGACAGUUGGCCUUCAGAUUCCACUUCUAUGGUGAACUUAAUUGCUGCUUGCAUUACUGUUUAAGUGAGCCGUGAGGAGGUGAAUAUUCUGUUGUUGCAAAACUCUGAAACAGUCGACAUAUCUGAAAAAGACCUUAGGUGUCGAUGUAAACGAGCUAACCUUGAGUUAAACCUCGACCUCUUCACGGCUCACUUAAACAAUUGCAAGCAAAAUUAGGUUCACCAUAGAAGUGGAAUGUGAAGGUCAACUGUCAUUCUUGGACUCCCUUGUGCCAUGCGAAGGGCCAAACCUGUUAUUUGAGGUGUUUAGGAAGCUAACUGACACGGGGCGCUACCUCAACUACACAUUGGUGCACCCUGCUUCGCAGAAGAGGUCUGUUGUCUGCUCUCUCCUUCGUUGGGUGAAAAAUGUGUGCACAACAGCAGAAGACCACAUGGCAGACAAUUCACUUGUGUGGUGGGAAUUGAUGGCUUGGGGAUACCCUGAGUACUUCAUUGACUCAGUAGGGUGCCAGCUGGCUCACGCAGUACCCACCCACCCUGGACCCCCCCAAAAAACGGGCUUCAAUACCGUACAUCCGUGGCAUAAGCGAGACCCUUGCUCAUGUGAAAGAGCACGGCAGGAAGAACAAAUCCUGACAGGCUUGCCAACUGUCACGAAUUUCAGCGCUUCAGGAAUGGACAGAGACGCAAUGCAAAUAUGUUAAAUAUUUUUCCCAAGACACAAUGUAACCCAAAACAAAUGACCAGCAAAGUAAGUGUGCACAAAAUAUACCCUGUACACAAAAGAGAUUAACAAAACUAGGUAUAUACAUAAUCAAAACAAAUGAGAAAUUAGCUGUAUAAUGUUUAUAGUCUGACUGGCCAAGUGACAGUCCCCAAGAAUUGAAUGUUCUGACUGUCAGAGUAGCAGUGAACGUCGGCAAGGCGUGGUGCAAGAUGUCAGCCUGCGUAGUUGCAACAUGACGUAGACAUAGACCUUCGUUGUGAGUGACGAGGUUGUCGCCCCCUUACGAGACUUGCAUUGCACAGGACGCAGUCUGGACUAGUCAGGCAUUGUGUGGCCGACGUGGUCAGGUGAUUGUGGCACUGGACAAGGCCGGUUAUGGCAGUGUGGCGUUGGGUUGGGGUUGCAGAGCAUAGUCAUGGCGAUGUAGUCAGGUCUUGGAAGCUGUUGUUGGCCAACUCUUGGAUGUCCUCUCGUCUGUCCGUGGUCCCAAGCUACUACUUCCCAUCUCCAAACACAGCUAGAGAUGCAACUGCCUUGCUUCUCAUCCAUGUCAGCAAUGCGCGCUCCUUGGUUUUCCUCCCCUUUUCCUUCAAUUUUUCUCUGACACUUCACAUGCUUCCUCACCUCACGUAUCCAUUCUCCAUUUCACUGACCAAUGUCGUCUGCUCCACAUUAUCGCACAUGCUCUGCCGGUGACUCGUGACAGUGUGAAAAGGGAAAGCAUGGCAGCAAACGUAUCCACUUGUCAGUCAGCACUGUGUUUGUCUUUUGUUUUAUCUCAUCUGUUGGUACUGUUCCUUGCCAAGGUGGCCAAGGUAUGUAUUCAACAUAUGAAAAGAGUGCAGUGCAAACCGGAAAAGAGAUGGUACCCUAGCUUGAAUGGAAGCAUACUUCGUUGACUUCAGUUGCACAAAUGGCCAGGAGUGUACACCUUGAGACACUAGUUUAUGGCAUUGUAGGUCUUGAAGGCCGUGGAAUUGGCUAACAUGGCUAACACUUUUCUGCAUGCUUCACUUGAUGAUUAUCGUAAACCACAAGUGUUCUCAGCAUUAUGUUCAAAUGCCUUAUGCCAUUUUAAUGUGAUGUUUAACAUGCCUCCCUUCUCUGCUACUAGUGCACUUUUUAUUUCGUUGCUUAUAUGUACCUUUUAUUUACUUAUUAGUUAUGUGUAAUAUCUGCAGUGUCAUUGUCUUACAGCGACACUGUUACGAGGUGUUUCACAAUGGUUACAGUCUAUAUUCUUUUUUUAAUUAUGUGCAAUAUAUGCAGUGCCAUUGAGGCAUCCAACAUCUUAAGCGAUGCUGUUAAGAAAAGUUACAAUGUGGAUGCAGCCACAUUAAAUGUAAAUGCAACGCUGGUUCGGAGCCUUGAACUUGUUUUGAGACAUAAUUAUCAACAAUUAUAAAAUAAAAGUUGCGUGCAUAUACCUUGUUUGAAUACAUAGCUUAUUUUCACGGUUUCUGAAUAAGUAAUUCAUAAUUUUUGUUUCUCGCAUUUUAUUAUACUGGCUUUGUGUUAAAAGUCGGCAAGGACCUUGUACGGCUGCUGCCAUAAAAGCAGAUGCCAAGCUGCUGCUAGCCUGCAUGCAGGCUAUCACUAAUACAACCAGCCUUGACCAUGCUCGAGCGCAGCAGCACUUGCUGUGUGCAAGCAAGGCUGUGAGCCAGCAAUCAGAUCCCUUAUUCCUCUGAAGGGUGUGAGAAAUCUCUUAUAACAGUGUUGUCAGAUUGGCACAGUAAAACUUCAUUUGGGCCUAGUUGGUACAUAAUUCUGAACUUAACGUUACAGCGCAGACACCUAAGACGAACCACAAAAAGCGCCAGUGUGUGUCGUGUCUUUUUGUGGUUCGUCUUAGGUGUUUGCGCUGUAAUGUUAAGUUCAGAUUGGCACACUUCUCUAAAAGAUUUUUUUUUUUACUUUUUAUCCUUCCCAAGAUAUUACGGAAUGAAGCUUCCAAAAGUUGUCAUCUCAACUAGGCCACAUGUUCUUUUAUGAUGCGGUCUUCAGCACUGCCUGUUUUUUGCCUUUAAUCGUCAGAAGUGAGCCCAUGGUGGUUCUAAGGCUCUGUAAGCCUUCUUGCACCAGCAGCAUUGUCCAGGUGGAAUAUCAGUAAGGAAGUUUGGAUGAUGGCCAUCAGAAGCCCACUUGUCAUUAUUCUGCCACUUUUGUUGCUUUUCUUGAGACUGUUUUUUCUUUCAAUGUUAUUGUUAAGAAAUUUAAGCAUGACGUAUGUUUGGAGCUAAGGGCAUGAUCCACCGGCUUCAAAGUUCCUAGAGUCAGUCUGCGCAAGGAAUUGUGAGGCGGUGCUGCUAUUAAAAGCAUGCACUUUCACCCGCUCUUAAAAUCGGGGUACAAUACAAUGAACAUUUUACCAUCCCUUACGACUCUCUCUUAGCCACUAUGUUUGCCUUUCGGUAAUAUGGGGGAAAAAAGCAAAGCUGAACUCUGCUUUAUUUAGUCCACUCUGCCAGCUUGUCACAGUAAAAAUGGCUCUGUUAGUGCCUACCAGAACUUUCAUUUUCCUAAUCAUUUAAUUUUGAAGUGCAAUAAGUGUUUUGGCGUCUUCUCAACUUUUUGCUGCUUUAACUCUUGCACAUGUCAAUAUUAAUGAGAAAUGAUGUCCUCUUUACCUUUUGUAGUACCACAGUCUAGAUUUGUCAGAGAAUGCACUGUUAUAGCUACGUUAUUUCUACAAUUACUGUAUUGCACCUUGUUCAGGCACUUGUGGCUGAUUUCCAUGUAUUCUUUAUGUACUUCAUAAGGUCUGUGCUUAAACCUGCAGCUGGAUGAGUUGCUUUCUAUUCUUACUGUUUGGUUUGUGCAGAUAACACAUGGGCAAGAAAGAAUCAAAAACCAGUUAAGAGAUUGUGCUUGCGUCGUCCAUUUCUUCCUUGCCUCUGCUUAUGCAAUAAAUUUAUUUUCUACAAAGCA